AAACACACCUGCGGCCAUUACAACUGCUGUGCAUUCUAAAAAAAAAAAAAAAGGACCGCAGUCGACGCGUCGUGAGGUGCAACAUAACAAAAGCAAAUCCUGCAGAGGCCCAAGGAAAGCCCCUGUGCACAGGAAAAAAAAAAAGCCAAAAUUGAAAUGAAGCCUGCUGCUGUAGAAGAUGGACUGUGUCUGGCUUGUCAAACAGAGGACGCCAUCUCAAAAUGCAUUGUCAUCUCUCACUGACUCAUUCACUGCUGCUGCAUUGCCAGGGAUGAUCCUGUGGGGAGGGAAUCUGCUGACGCAGUUGUUGAAGACGACAGGUGC